AGAGUUUGAUCCUGGCUCAGGACGAACGCUGGCGGCGUGCUUAACACAUGCAAGUCGAGCGAUGAAGCUCCUUCGGGAGUGGAUUAGCGGCGGACGGGUGAGUAACACGUGGGUAACCUGCCUCAUAGAGGGGAAUAGCCUUUCGAAAGGAAGAUUAAUACCGCAUAAGAUUGUAGUACCGCAUGGUACAGCAAUUAAAGGAGUAAUCCGCUAUGAGAUGGACCCGCGUCGCAUUAGCUAGUUGGUGAGGUAACGGCUCACCAAGGCGACGAUGCGUAGCCGACCUGAGAGGGUGAUCGGCCACAUUGGGACUGAGACACGGCCCAGACUCCUACGGGAGGCAGCAGUGGGGAAUAUUGCACAAUGGGGGAAACCCUGAUGCAGCAACGCCGCGUGAGUGAUGACGGUCUUCGGAUUGUAAAGCUCUGUCUUUAGGGACGAUAAUGACGGUACCUAAGGAGGAAGCCACGGCUAACUACGUGCCAGCAGCCGCGGUAAU
rnacentral:rRNA from 1 species